ensembl:snRNA U1 U1 spliceosomal RNA
AUACUUACCUGGCAGGGGAGAUACCAUGAUCAUGAAGGUGGUUUUCCCAGGGCGAGGCUUGUCCAUUGCACUCCGGAUGCGCUGACCCCUGUGAUUCCCCCAAACGCGGGAAACUCAACCGCAUAGUUUGUGGUAGUAGGGGACUGCGUUCGCACUUUCCCCUG